rnacentral:hammerhead_ribozyme from 1 species
AUCCAGCUGACAAGUCCCAAAUAGGAUGAAACGCACUUCAAACUAGAU